UUUGGUGGCGAUGCGCUUAGGGGUAACACCCGUUCUCAUCCCGAACACGAUGGUUAAGACUUAAGCGGCCGAUGAUACUAUGCUGGAGACGGCAUGGGAAAGUAGGUGGCUGCCAAAU
rnacentral:rRNA from 1 species